rnacentral:rRNA from 1 species
CCUACGGGGGGCUGCAGUGGGGAAUAUUGGACAAUGGGGGGAACCCUGAUCCAGCCAUGCCGCGUGUGUGAAGAAGGCCCUCGGGUUGUAAAGCACUUUCAGUGAGGAAGAACGCCUGGUGGUUAAUACCCAUCAGGAAAGACAUCACUCACAGAAGAAGCACCGGCUAACUCCGUGCCAGCAGCCGCGGUAAUACGGAGGGUGCGAGCGUUAAUCGGAAUUACUGGGCGUAAAGCGCGCGUAGGUGGCUUGAUAAGCCGGUUGUGAAAGCCCCGGGCUCAACCUGGGAACGGCAUCCGGAACUGUCAAGCUAGAGUGCAGGAGAGGAAGGUAGAAUUCCCGGUGUAGCGGUGAAAUGUGUAGAGAUCGGGAGGAAUACCAGUGGCGAAGGCGGCCUUCUGGACUGACACUGACACUGAGGUGCGAAAGCGUGGGUAGCAAACAGGAUUAGAUACCCCUGUAGUC